UUCGUUGAAACACCAGCUCCCCUACGAUUAGUGAAGUUAAGCAACGUCGAGCCUGGUCACUACAAAGAUAGAUGACCGUUUGAGAAUACUAGGUGCUGUAA